CCUACGGGGGGCAGCAGUAGGGAAUCUUCCACAAUGGGCGAAAGCCUGAUGGAGCAACGCCGCGUGGGUGAAGAAGGUCUUCGGAUCGUAAAGCUCUGUUGUAAGAGAAGAACGUGUGUGAGAGUGGAAAGUUCACACAGUAACGGUAACUUACCAGAAAGGGACGGCUAACUACGUGCCAGCAGCCGCGGUAAUACGUAGGUCCCGAGCGUUAUCCGGAUUUAUUGGGCGUAAAGCGAGCGCAGGCGGUUGGGUAAGUCUGAAGUUAAAGGCUGGGG
rnacentral:rRNA from 1 species